CGUCUAUAUACGUAUAGCAUAUCAAUAAGCGGAGGAAAAGAAACUAACUAGGAUUCCCUCAGUAACGGCGAGUGAAGCGGGAAGAGCUCAAAUUUGAAAUCUUCAAGGUUCUACCUUGACGAAUUGUAGUUUAAAGAAGUGUUUUCUGUUGGAGUUUUGGUAAAAGUUCUUUGGAAUAGGACAUCAUAGAGGGUGAGAAUCCCGUAUUUGACCAUUAUUUCCAACUUUGUGAUACACUUUCAAAGAGUCGGAUUGUUUGGGAAUGCAGUCCAAAAUGGGUGGUAAAUUUCAUCUAAAGCUAAAUACUGGCGAGAGACCGAUAGCGAACAAGUACCGUGAGGGAAAGAUGAAAAGAACUUUGAAAAGAGAGUUAAACAGUACGUGAAAUUGUCAAAAGGGAAGCGUUUGACACCAGUGUUGUUUUCUCGAAAAUCAAUUAAAAAUGGCGGGAUUUUGUGUUGUAUUGACUUUAUCAGCUUUCUGCACUUUUUUCCUAUCUUUUUUAAUGCACUUUUCGUUUAACAAGUCAACAUCAAUUUCUUUUGUUGUAAAAGAGGUCAUUGGAAGGUGGCUUUCUUUUCGGAGAAAGUGUUUAUAGCCUUUGACUUCUGCAAUCGGAGAGAUUGAGGUCUGCAGCGUAGAUCCUUCGGGGUUAGAUAGCAUUUGUGCUAAGCUAUAGCCUUUCAUAGACAACUUGUUGACUAUGAUCAGUCAUGUAGCUUACUCGCUUAUGCUAUUUUACCUACGCUUAGGAUGUUGACGAUCAGCUGAGCGCG
rnacentral:rRNA from 1 species